GUUUAGGAUUACCGUUAUGAUAAGGCGUUAGGGGUUAGAGGUGUAGUUUAGGGUUAGGGUUUGGGUGAGGGUUCCGGUUAGGCCUUGCGGUUCUGGUCAUGGUUAGGUUUGGUUUAGGCUUAGGGUUAGGUGCAUGAUUCGGUUUCAGGUUAGUGUUAGAGUUAGGGUGAGAGUUAGUGUUAAGGUUUUUGCUAGGCUUUGGUGUUAGGGUUAGGGUUUGUGUUAGGGUUAGGUUUAUCAUUAGGGCUCAGGGGUUUCAGGUUAAUGUUAGGGUUAGGGUUAGGGAUAGCAUUAGGGUUAGGGUUGUGGGAUACGGUUAGGAUUUAGGGUGCGGGUUACGGUUAGUUUUGCAGUUAAGGUGAGGGUUUAGGGUAAUUGUUACGAUUAGGGUUAUAGUCAGAGUUAGGGUUUGGUUUAGGAUUAGGGUUAGGUGUAGGGUAAGAAUUAGGUUUAGGUCCAUGUUGAGGGUUAGACUUAGUGUUCUAUUUAGGGUAAGGGUUAGGGGUAGGGUUAGGAUUAGGUCUAGGGUUAGGAUUAGGAUUAUUUUAGGGUUAGGUUCAGGGCUAUUGUAAGUGUUCGGUUUAGGGUUACAGAUGGACUAGCGUUAUUCUUAGAGUUAGGUUUAAGGUUAGGGUUUGGGUUAGGUCUAGGUUUAGGGUUAAGGUUAUGGUUAGUGUUUGGAUGAAGUUCAGGAUAGGGUGAGGGUUAUUUUUAUGGUGAGGGCUAGGGUUUGGGUUUGUGUGCAGGUUAGUGUUAAGGAUAGGUUUAGGGUUCGGUGAGGGUUAGGCGUUAUGUCUAGGGUCAGCGUUAGGUUAGGUUUAGGGUUAGUGUGAAGUUUAGGUUAAGGGUGAGGGUUAUGGUAAGGGUUAGGAUUAUAGACGGUGUUAGACGUUAGGUUUAGGGUGUUAGGGUUAGGUUUAUGGUUAGGGUAGAUUUAAGUUUAGGUUUAAUAUUAGGGUUAGGGUUAGAUUUGGGUUACUGUUCGUAUUAGGGUUAGGGUUAGGGAUAAGUUUGGGGAUAGCGUUAGGUUUAGGGUUGGGGAUACGGUUAAGGAUUAGGGUGAGGGUUAGGGUUAGGUUUACAGUUAAGGCGAGGGUUUAGGGUAAUUGUUAUGGUUAGGGUUAGAGUUAGAGUUAGGCUUAGGGUUAGGGUGAAGUUUCAGUUAAUAGUCAGGGUUAGGCUUAAGGUUAGAGUAGGGUUAAGGUUAGUGUUCGGGUUAGGUAUAGCGUUAGGGUUUGGGUAGGGGUAAGGUUAGGGUUAAGGCUAGGUUUACGGUAAAGGGUAGGGCUAGCUUAGGGUUAGAUUUAGAGUUGGAGUUAGUGCUAGGGUUUAGAAUGAUGGUUAUGGUCAGGUUCAGAGUUGUUGUUAGGGUUAGGGUAGAGUUAAGGUUAGGGUUAAUUUAGGGUUAGAGAAAGGGUUAGGUUUAGGUCUGGGUUAGGUGUAGGAUGCGGGGUAGGGUUAGGGUUAGGGGUUCAUGGGAGGGUUAGUGUUAAGUUUCCAUUAAGCUGAUGUUUUAGGGUGUUACUGUUAGGGCUAGGGUUAGCAUUAGGUUUAGGGUCAGGGCUAGAGUUAGGGGAUAGUUAAGGGUUAGCUUUACUUUCAGGGUUAGGGUUAGCCUUAGGUUUAGGGUGAAGUUUAGGUUAAGGAUGAGGGUUAGGGUUAGGGUUAGGCAUUUGGGUUAAGGUUAGGGUUAGGUUUAGGAUUAGGCUUAGGGUUAGGGUUAGGUGUUUGGGUUAAUGUUAGGGUCAGGUUUAGGGUUCGGCUUAGGGUUAGGGCUACAGCUGGGGUAAAGUUUAAUUGAAGGGUGAGGGUUGAGCUUAGGGUUAGCGUUAGGGGUUAGGGUUAGAGCUUAGGUUAGGAUUAAGUGUAGGGUUAAGGUUAGGUUUAGAUUUAGGGUUAGGGUUAGUGUUAGGGUUAAGUCAUGUUUAGGUUUAGGGCUAGGUGAAGGUUAUAGAUAGGGUUAGGUUAAGGGUUGAGGUUAGGUUUAGAUGGUAAGAUGAGGGUUAGUGCUAGGUUUCCAUUGAAGCUGAGUGUGUAGGGUAAGUUUUAGGGUUAGGAUUAGGGUUAGAGUUAGGGUUAGGGUCAGGGUUAGUUUUGAGUUUAGAGUUAGGGUUACGUUUAUGGUACGGUCAGGGUUAGGGGAGAUUUAGUGUUACGUUUAGUUUUAGGGCUAGGGUUACAGAGAAGUUUAUGUGAAGCGAGAGGGUUGGGGUUAGGGGUUUGGGUUCAGGUCAGAGUCAGGGUUAGGGUUAGGUUUAGGGUUAGGGUUACGUGUAGUGUUAGUGUUAGUUUUGCUUAGGGUUCGGGUUUGAAUGAAGUGAGGGUACGCUUAGCGUUAUGCUUUAGGGUGAAAUUCUGGUUAAGGGUGAGGGUUCGGCUCAGGGUUAGGGUUAGAGUUAGGGUCAGUGGUUAGGGUUAGGUUUAGGGUUAAGGUUAGUUUUAGGCUAAGGAUUAGGAUUAGAGUUAGGGUUAAAGGUUACUGUUUCAGUUAGGUUUAGGUUAAGGUUAUAAUUAGGGUUAAGUUUAGGGUUAGGGUAAGAGUUAGAGUUACAUUUACAGUUAAGGUGAGGGUUCUGGGUAAGUGUUACCGUUCAGGUUAGGGUUAGGGCUAGGGUUAGGGUUAGAGUUAAGGUUAAGGGUUAGGGUUAGGUUUAAGUUUAUGGUAGGCUUAAAAAUAGGGUUGAGGUUAGGUUAGGGUUAGGGUCAGGGUUAGAAUUAGAAUUAGGUUUAGGGCGAGGAUUAGGGUCAGAGUUAUUGUAAGGGUUAGGUUUCGGGUUACAGGUGGGCCAAGGUUAAGGUGAGGGUUAGGUUUAUGGGGAGGGUUAGGGUUAAAGUCAGGGUGAGUUUUAGGUUAGGGAUAGGGUGAAGUUUAAGAUAGGGUGAGGGUUAGGGUUAUGGCUAAGGUUUGGGCUUGUUUUCAGGUUAGUGUUAAGGUUAUGUUCAGGGUUAGGGUUACGUUCAGGGGUUGUGUUCAGUUUUAGGGUUAGGGUUAGAUUUAAGGUUAGGGUUAAGUUUAGUGUUACGUUUAGGGUUAGGGUCAUGGCUGUGUUAGGCUUUGUGGUUGGGGUGAGGGUUAGUUUUAGGGUUAGGGUUGGUUAGGGUUAGGAUUACCGUUAUGAUAAGGCGUUAGGGGUUAGAGGUGUAGUUUAGGGUUAGGGUUUGGGUGAGGGUUCCGGUUAGGCCUUGCGGUUCUGGUCAUGGUUAGGUUUGGUUUAGGCUUAGGGUUAGGUGCAUGAUUCGGUUUCGGGUUAGUGUUAGAGUUAGGGUGAGAGUUAGUGUUAAGGUUUUUGCUAGGCUUUGGUGUUAGGGUUAGGGUUUGUGUUAGGGUUAGGUUUAUCAUUAGGGCUCAGGGGUUUCAGGUUAAUGUUAGGGUUAGGGUUAGGGAUAGCAUUAGGGUUAGGGUUGUGGGAUACGGUUAGGAUUUAGGGUGCGGGUUACGGUUAGUUUUCCAGUUAAGGUGAGGGUUUAGGGUAAUUGUUACGAUUAGGGUUAUAGUCAGAGUUAGGGUUUGGUUUAGGAUUAGGGUUAGGUGUAGGGUAAGAAUUAGGUUUAGGUCCAUGUUGAGGGUUAGACUUAGUGUUCUAUUUAGGGUAAGGGUUAGGGGUAGGGUUAGGAUUAGGUCUAGGGUUAGGAUUAGGAUUAUUUUAGGGUUAGGUUCAGGGCUAUUGUAAGUGUUCGGUUUAGGGUUACAGAUGGACUAGCGUUAUUCUUAGAGUUAGGUUUAAGGUUAGGGUUUGGGUUAGGUCUAGGUUUAGGGUUAAGGUUAUGGUUAGUGUUUGGAUGAAGUUCAGGAUAGGGUGAGGGUUAUUUUUAUGGUGAGGGCUAGGGUUUGGGUUUGUGUGCAGGUUAGUGUUAAGGAUAGGUUUAGGGUUCGGUGAGGGUUAGGCGUUAUGUCUAGGGUCAGCGUUAGGUUAGGUUUAGGGUUAGUGUGAAGUUUAGGUUAAGGGUGAGGGUUAUGGUAAGGGUUAGGAUUAUAGACGGUGUUAGACGUUAGGUUUAGGGUGUUAGGGUUAGGUUUAUGGUUAGGGUAGAUUUAAGUUUAGGUUUAAUAUUAGGGUUAGGGUUAGAUUUGGGUUACUGUUCGUAUUAGGGUUAGGGUUAGGGAUAAGUUUGGGGAUAGCGUUAGGUUUAGGGUUGGGGAUACGGUUAAGGAUUAAGGUGAGGGUUAGGGUUAGGUUUACAGUUAAGGCGAGGGUUUAGGGUAAUUGUUAUGGUUAGGGUUAGAGUUAGAGUUAGGCUUAGGGUUAGGGUGAAGUUUCAGUUAAUAGUCAGGGUUAGGCUUAAGGUUAGAGUAGGGUUAAGGUUAGUGUUCGGGUUAGGUAUAGCGUUAGGGUUUGGGUAGGGGUAAGGUUAAGGUUAAGGCUAGGUUUACGGUAAAGGGUAGGGCUAGCUUAGGGUUAGAUUUAGAGUUGGAGUUAGUGCUAGGGUUUAGGAUGAUGGUUAUGGUCAGGUUCAGAGUUGUUGUUAGGGUUAGGGUAGAGUUAAGGUUAGGGUUAAUUUAGGGUUAGAGAAAGGGUUAGGUUUAGGUCUGGGUUAGGUGUAGGAUGCGGGGUAGGGUUAGGGUUAGGGGUUCAUGGGAGGGUUAGUGUUAAGUUUCCAUUAAGCUGAUGUUUUAGGGUGUUACUGUUAGGGCUAGGGUUAGCAUUAGGUUUAGGGUCAGGGCUAGAGUUAGGGGAUAGUUAAGGGUUAGCUUUACUUUCAGGGUUAGGGUUAGCCUUAGGUUUAGGGUGAAGUUUAGGUUAAGGAUGAGGGUUAGGGUUAGGGUUAGGCAUUUGGGUUAAGGUUAGGGUUAGGUUUAGGAUUAGGCUUAGGGUUAGGGUUAGGUGUUUGGGUUAAUGUUAGGGUCAGGUUUAGGGUUCGGCUUAGGGUUAGGGCUACAGCUGGGGAAAAGUUUAAUUGAAGGGUGAGGGUUGAGCUUAGGGUUAGCGUUAGGGGUUAGGGUUAGAGCUUAGGUUAGGAUUAAGUGUAGGGUUAAGGUUAGGUUUAGAUUUAGGGUUAGGGUUAGUGUUAGGGUUAAGUCAUGUUUAGGUUUAGGGCUAGGUGAAGGUUAUAGAUAGGGUUAGGUUAAGGGUUGAGGUUAGGUUUAGAUGGUAAGAUGAGGGUUAGUGCUAGGUUUCCAUUGAAGCUGAGUGUGUAGGGUAAGUUUUAGGGUUAGGAUUAGGGUUAGAGUUAGGGUUAGGGUCAGGGUUAGUUUUGAGUUUAGAGUUAGGGUUACGUUUAUGGUACGGUCAGGGUUAGGGGAGAUUUAGUGUUACGUUUAGUUUUAGGGCUAGGGUUACAGAGAAGUUUAUGUGAAGCGAGAGGGUUGGGGUUAGGGGUUUGGGUUCAGGUCAGAGUCAGGGUUAGGGUUAGGUUUAGGGUUAGGGUUACGUGUAGUGUUAGUGUUAGUUUUGCUUAGGGUUCGGGUUUGAAUGAAGUGAGGGUACGCUUAGCGUUAUGCUUUAGGGUGAAAUUCUGGUUAAGGGUGAGGGUUCGGCUCAGGGUUAGCGUUAGAGUUAGGGUCAGUGGUUAGGGUUAGGUUUAGGGUUAAGGUUAGUUUUAGGCUAAGGAUUAGGAUUAGAGUUAGGGUUAAGGGUUACUGUUUCAGUUAGGUUUAGGUUAAGGUUAUAAUUAGGGUUAAGUUUAGGGUUAGGGUAAGAGUUAGAGUUACAUUUACAGUUAAGGUGAGGGUUCUGGGUAAGUGUUACCGUUCAGGUUAGGGUUAGGGCUAGGGUUAGGGUUAGAGUUAAGGUUAAGGGUUAGGGUUAGGUUUAAGUUUAUGGUAGGCUUAAAAAUAGGGUUGAGGUUAGGUUAGGGUUAGGGUCAGGGUUAGAAUUAGAAUUAGGUUUAGGGCGAGGAUUAGGGUCAGAGUUAUUGUAAGGGUUAGGUUUCGGGUUACAGGUGGGCCAAGGUUAAGGUGAGGGUUAGGUUUAUGGGGAGGGUUAGGGUUAAAGUCAGGGUGAGUUUUAGGUUAGGGAUAGGGUGAAGUUUAAGAUAGGGUGAGGGUUAGGGUUAUGGCUAAGGUUUGGGCUUGUUUUCAGGUUAGUGUUAAGGUUAUGUUCAGGGUUAGGGUUACGUUCAGGGGUUGUGUUCAGUUUUAGGGUUAGGGUUAGAUUUAAGGUUAGGGUUAAGUUUAGUGUUACGUUUAGGGUUAGGGUCAUGGUUGUGUUAGGCUUUGUGGUUGGGGUGAGGGUUAGUUUUAGGGUUAGGGUUGGUUAGGGUUAGGAUUACCGUUAUGAUAAGGCGUUAGGGGUUAGAGGUGUAGUUUAGGGUUAGGGUUUGGGUGAGGGUUCCGGUUAGGCCUUGCGGUUCUGGUCAUGGUUAGGUUUGGUUUAGGCUUAGGGUUAGGUGCAUGAUUCGGUUUCGGGUUAGUGUUAGAGUUAGGGUGAGAGUUAGUGUUAAGGUUUUUGCUAGGCUUUGGUGUUAGGGUUAGGGUUUGUGUUAGGGUUAGGUUUAUCAUUAGGGCUCAGGGGUUUCAGGUUAAUGUUAGGGUUAGGGUUAGGGAUAGCAUUAGGGUUGUGGGAUACGGUUAGGAUUUAGGGUGCGGGUUACGGUUAGUUUUCCAGUUAAGGUGAGGGUUUAGGGUAAUUGUUACGAUUAGGGUUAUAGUCAGAGUUAGGGUUUGGUUUAGGAUUAGGGUUAGGUGUAGGGUAAGAAUUAGGUUUAGGUCCAUGUUGAGGGUUAGACUUAGUGUUCUAUUUAGGGUCAGGGUUAGGGGUAGGGUUAGGAUUAGGUCUAGAGUUAGGAUUAGGAUUAUUUUAGGGUUAGGUUCAGGGCUAUUGUAAGUGUUCGGUUUAGGGUUACAGAUGGACUAGCGUUAUUCUUAGAGUUAGGUUUAAGGUUAGGGUUUGGGUUAGGUCUAGGUUUAGGGUUAAGGUUAUGGUUAGUGUUUGGAUGAAGUUCAGGAUAGGGUGAGGGUUAUUUUUAUGGUGAGGGCUAGGGUUUGGGUUUGUGUGCAGGUUAGUGUUAAGGAUAGGUUUAGGGUUCGGUGAGGGUUAGGCGUUAUGUCUAGGGUCAGCGUUAGGUUAGGUUUAGGGUUAGUGUGAAGUUUAGGUUAAGGGUGAGGGUUAUGGUAAGGGUUAGGAUUAUAGACGGUGUUAGACGUUAGGUUUAGGGUGUUAGGGUUAGGUUUAUGGUUAGGGUAGAUUUAAGUUUAGGUUUAAUAUUAGGGUUAGGGUUAGAUUUGGGUUACUGUUCGUAUUAGGGUUAGGGUUAGGGAUAAGUUUGGGGAUAGCGUUAGGUUUAGGGUUGGGGAUACGGUUAAGGAUUAGGGUGAGGGUUAGGGUUAGGUUUACAGUUAAGGCGAGGGUUUAGGGUAAUUGUUAUGGUUAGGGUUAGAGUUAGAGUUAGGCUUAGGGUUAGGGUGAAGUUUCAGUUAAUAGUCAGGGUUAGGCUUAAGGUUAGAGUAGGGUUAAGGUUAGUGUUCGGGUUAGGUAUAGCGUUAGGUUUUGGGUAGGGGUAAGGUUAGAGUUAAGGCUAGGUUUACGGUAAAGUGUAGGGUUAGCUUAGGGUUAGAUUUAGAGUUGGAGUUAGUGCUAGGGUUUAGGAUGAUGGUUAUGGUCAGGUUCAGAGUUGUUGUUAGGGUUAGGGUAGAGUUAAGGUUAGGGUUAAUUUAGGGUUAGAGAAAGGGUUAGGUUUAGGUCUGGGUUAGGUGUAGGAUGCGGGGUAGGGUUAGGGUUAGGGGUUCAUGGGAGGGUUAGUGUUAAGUUUCCAUUAAGCUGAUGUUUUAGGGUGUUACUGUUAGGGCUAGGGUUAGCAUUAGGUUUAGGGUCAGGGCUAGAGUUAGGGGAUAGUUAAGGCUUAGCUUUACUUUCAGGGUUAGGGUUAGCCUUAGGUUUAGGGUGAAGUUUAGGUUAAGGAUGAGGGUUAGGGUUAGGGUUAGGCAUUUGGGUUAAGGUUAGGGUUAGGUUUAGGAUUAGGCUUAGGGUUAGGGUUAGGUGUUUGGGUUAAUGUUAGGGUCAGGUUUAGGGUUCGGCUUAGGGUUAGGGCUACAGCUGGGGUAAAGUUUAAUUGAAGGGUGAGGGUUGAGCUUAGGGUUAGCGUUAGGGGUUAGGGUUAGAGCUUAGGUUAGGAUUAAGUGUAGGGUUAAGGUUAGGUUUAGAUUUAGGGUUAGGGUUAGUGUUAGGGUUAAGUCAUGUUUAGGUUUAGGGCUAGGUGAAGGUUAUAGAUAGGGUUAGGUUAAGGGUUGAGGUUAGGUUUAGAUGGUAAGAUGAGGGUUAGUGCUAGGUUUCCAUUGAAGCUGAGUGUGUAGGGUAAGUUUUAGGGUUAGGAUUAGGGUUAGAGUUAGGGUUAGGGUCAGGGUUAGUUUUGAGUUUAGAGUUAGGGUUACGUUUAUGGUACGGUCAGGGUUAGGGGAGAUUUAGUGUUACGUUUAGUUUUAGGGCUAGGGUUACAGAGAAGUUUAUGUGAAGCGAGAGGGUUGGGGUUAGGGGUUUGGGUUCAGGUCAGAGUCAGGGUUAGGGUUAGGUUUAGGGUUAGGGUUACGUGUAGUGUUAGUGUUAGUUUUGCUUAGGGUUCUGGUUUGAAUGAGGUGAGGGUACGCUUAGCGUUAUGCUUUAGGGUGAAAUUCUGGUUAAGGGUGAGGGUUCGGCUCAGGGUUAGGGUUAGAGUUAGGGUCAGUGGUUAGGGUUAGGUUUAGGGUUAAGGUUAGUUUUAGGCUAAGGAUUAGGAUUAGAGUUAGGGUUAAGGGUUACUGUUUCAGUUAGGUUUAGGUUAAGGUUAUAAUUAGGGUUAAGUUUAGGGUUAGGGUAAGAGUUAGAGUUACAUUUACAGUUAAGGUGAGGGUUCUGGGUAAGUGUUACCGUUAAGGUUAGGGUUAGGGCUAGGGUUAGGGUUAGAGUUAAGGUUAAGGGUUAGGGUUAGGUUUAAGUUUAUGGUAGGCUUAAAGAUAGGGUUGAGGUUAGGUUAGGGUUAGGGUCAGGGUUAGAAUUAGAAUUAGGUUUAGGGCGAGGAUUAGGGUCAGAGUUAUUGUAAGGGUUAGGUUUCGGGUUACAGGUGGGCCAAGGUUAAGGUGAGGGUUAGGUUUAUGGGGAGGGUUAGGGUUAAAGUCAGGGUGAGUUUUAGGUUAGGGAUAGGGUGAAGUUUAAGAUAGGGUGAGGGUUAGGGUUAUGGCUAAGGUUUGGGCUUGUUUUCAGGUUAGUGUUAAGGUUAUGUUCAGGGUUAGGGUUACGUUCAGGGGUUGUGUUCAGUUUUAGGGUUAGGGUUAGAUUUAAGGUUAGGGUUAAGUUUAGUGUUACGUUUAGGGUUAGGGUCAUGGCUGUGUUAGGCUUUGUGGUUGGGGUGAGGGUUAGUUUUAGGGUUAGGGUUGGUUAGGGUUAGGAUUACCGUUAUGAUAAGGCGUUAGGGGUUAGAGGUGUAGUUUAGGGUUAGGGUUUGGGUGAGGGUUCCGGUUAGGCCUUGCGGUUCUGGUCAUGGUUAGGUUUGGUUUAGGCUUAGGGUUAGGUGCAUGAUUCGGUUUCGGGUUAGUGUUAGAGUUAGGGUGAGAGUUAGUGUUAAGGUUUUUGCUAGGCUUUGGUGUUAGGGUUAGGGUUUGUGUUAGGGUUAGGUUUAUCAUUAGGGCUCAGGGGUUUCAGGUUAAUGUUAGGGUUAGGGUUAGGGAUAGCAUUAGGGUUAGGGUUGUGGGAUACGGUUAGGAUUUAGGGUGCGGGUUACGGUUAGUUUUCCAGUUAAGGUGAGGGUUUAGGGUAAUUGUUACGAUUAGGGUUAUAGUCAGAGUUAGGGUUUGGUUUAGGAUUAGGGUUAGGUGUAGGGUAAGAAUUAGGUUUAGGUCCAUGUUGAGGGUUAGACUUAGUGUUCUAUUUAGGGUCAGGGUUAGGGGUAGGGUUAGGAUUAGGUCUAGGGUUAGGAUUAGGAUUAUUUUAGGGUUAGGUUCAGGGCUAUUGUAAGUGUUCGGUUUAGGGUUACAGAUGGACUAGCGUUAUUCUUAGAGUUAGGUUUAAGGUUAGGGUUUGGGUUAGGUCUAGGUUUAGGGUUAAGGUUAUGGUUAGUGUUUGGAUGAAGUUCAGGAUAGGGUGAGGGUUAUUUUUAUGGUGAGGGCUAGGGUUUGGGUUUGUGUGCAGGUUAGUGUUAAGGAUAGGUUUAGGGUUCGGUGAGGGUUAGGCGUUAUGUCUAGGGUCAGCGUUAGGUUAGGUUUAGGGUUAGUGUGAAGUUUAGGUUAAGGGUGAGGGUUAUGGUAAGGGUUAGGAUUAUAGACGGUGUUAGACGUUAGGUUUAGGGUGUUAGGGUUAGGUUUAUGGUUAGGGUAGAUUUAAGUUUAGGUUUAAUAUUAGGGUUAGGGUUAGAUUUGGGUUACUGUUCGUAUUAGGGUUAGGGUUAGGGAUAAGUUUGGGGAUAGCGUCAGGUUUAGGGUUGGGGAUACGGUUAAGGAUUAGGGUGAGGGUUAGGGUUAGGUUUACAGUUAAGGCGAGGGUUUAGGGUAAUUGUUAUGGUUAGGGUUAGAGUUAGAGUUAGGCUUAGGGUUAGGGUGAAGUUUCAGUUAAUAGUCAGGGUUAGGCUUAAGGUUAGAGUAGGGUUAAGGUUAGUGUUCGGGUUAGGUAUAGCGUUAGGGUUUGGGUAGGGGUAAGGUUAGGGUUAAGGCUAGGUUUACGGUAAAGGGUAGGGCUAGCUUAGGGUUAGAUUUAGAGUUGGAGUUAGUGCUAGGGUUUAGGAUGAUGGUUAUGGUCAGGUUCAGAGUUGUUGUUAGGGUUAGGGUAGAGUUAAGGUUAGGGUUAAUUUAGGGUUAGAGAAAGGGUUAGGUUUAGGUCUGGGUUAGGUGUAGGAUGCGGGGUAGGGUUAGGGUUAGGGGUUCAUGGGAGGGUUAGUGUUAAGUUUACAUUAAGCUGAUGUUUUAGGGUGUUACUGUUAGGGCUAGGGUUAGCAUUAGGUUUAGGGUCAGGGCUAGAGUCAGGGGAUAGUUAAGGCCUAGCUUUACUUUCAGCGUUAGGGUUAGCCUUAGGUUUAGGGUGAAGUUUAGGUUAAGGAUGAGGGUUAGGGUUAGGGUUAGGCAUUUGGGUUAAGGUUAGGGUUAGGUUUAGGAUUAGGCUUAGGGUUAGGGUUAGGUGUUUGGGUUAAUGAUAGGGUCAGGUUUAGGGUUCGGCUUAGGGUUAGGGCUACAGCUGGGGUAAAGUUUAAUUGAAGGGUGAGGGUUGAGCUUAGGGUUAGCGUUAGGGGUUAGGGUUAGAGCUUAGGUUAGGAUUAAGUGCAGGGUUAAGGUUAGGUUUAGAUUUAGGGUUAGGGUUAGUGUUAGGGUUAAGUCAUGUUUAGGUUUAGGGCUAGGUGAAGGUUAUAGAUAGGGUUAGGUUAAGGGUUGAGGUUAGGUUUAGAUGGUAAGAUGAGGGUUAGUGCUAGGUUUCCAUUGAAGCUGAGUGUGUAGGGUAAGUUUUAGGGUUAGGAUUAGGGUUAGAGUUAGGGUUAGGGUCAGGGUUAGUUUUGAGUUUAGAGUUAGGGUUACGUUUAUGGUACGGUCAGGGUUAGGGGAGAUUUAGUGUUACGUUUAGUUUUAGGGCUAGGGUUACAGAGAAGUUUAUGUGAAGCGAGAGGGUUGGGGUUAGGGGUUUGGGUUCAGGUCAGAGGCAGGGUUAGGGUUAGGUUUAGGGUUAGGGUUACGUGUAGUGUUAGUGUUAGUUUUGCUUAGGGUUCGGGUUUGAAUGAAGUGAGGGUACGCUUAGCGUUAUGCUUUAGGGUGAAAUUCUGGUUAAGGGUGAGGGUUCGGCUCAGGGUUAGGGUUAGAGUUAGGGUCAGUGGUUAGGGUUAGGUUUAGGGUUAAGGUUAGUUUUAGGCUAAGGAUUAGGAUUAGAGUUAGGGUUAAGGGUUACUGUUUCAGUUAGGUUUAGGUUAAGGUUAUAAUUAGGGUUAAGUUUAGGGUUAGGGUAAGAGUUAGAGUUACAUUUACAGUUAAGGUGAGGGUUCUGGGUAAGUGUUACCGUUCAGGUUAGGGUUAGGGCUAGGGUUAGGGUUAGAGUUAAGGUUAAGGGUUAGGGUUAGGUUGAAGUUUAUGGUAGGCUUAAAGAUAGGGUUGAGGUUAGGUUAGGGUUAGGGUCAGGGUUAGAAUUAGAAUUAGGUUUAGGGCGAGGAUUAGGGUCAGAGUUAUUGUAAGGGUUAGGUUUCGGGUUACAGGUGGGCCAAGGUUAAGGUGAGGGUUAGGUUUAUGGGGAGGGUUAGGGUUAAAGUCAGGGUGAGUUUUAGGUUAGGGAUAGGGUGAAGUUUAAGAUAGGGUGAGGGUUAGGGUUAUGGCUAAGGUUUGGGCUUGUUUUCAGGUUAGUGUUAAGGUUAUGUUCAGGGUUAGGGUUACGUUCAGGGGUUGUGUUCAGUUUUAGGGUUAGGGUUAGAUUUAAGGUUAGGGUUAAGUUUAGUGUUACGUUUAGGGUUAGGGUCAUGGUUGUGUUAGGCUUUGUGGUUGGGGUGAGGGUUAGUUUUAGGGUUAGGGUUGGUUAGGGUUAGGAUUACCGUUAUGAUAAGGCGUUAGGGGUUAGAGGUGUAGUUUAGGGUUAGGGUUUGGGUGAGGGUUCCGGUUAGGCCUUGCGGUUCUGGUCAUGGUUAGGUUUGGUUUAGGCUUAGGGUUAGGUGCAUGAUUCGGUUUCGGGUUAGUGUUAGAGUUAGGGUGAGAGUUAGUGUUAAGGUUUUUGCUAGGCUUUGGUGUUAGGGUUAGGGUUUGUGUUAGGGUUAGGUUUAUCAUUAGGGCUCAGGGGUUUCAGGUUAAUGUUAGGGUUAGGGUUAGGGAUAGCAUUAGGGUUAGGGUUGUGGGAUACGGUUAGGAUUUAGGGUGCGGGUUACGGUUAGUUUUCCAGUUAAGGUGAGGGUUUAGGGUAAUUGUUACGAUUAGGGUUAUAGUCAGAGUUAGGGUUUGGUUUAGGAUUAGGGUUAGGUGUAGGGUAAGAAUUAGGUUUAGGUCCAUGUUGAGGGUUAGACUUAGUGUUCUAUUUAGGGUCAGGGUUAGGGGUAGGGUUAGGAUUAGGUCUAGGGUUAGGAUUAGGAUUAUUUUAGGGUUAGGUUCAGGGCUAUUGUAAGUGUUCGGUUUAGGGUUACAGAUGGACUAGCGUUAUUCUUAGAGUUAGGUUUAAGGUUAGGGUUUGGGUUAGGUCUAGGUUUAGGGUUAAGGUUAUGGUUAGUGUUUGGAUGAAGUUCAGGAUAGGGUGAGGGUUAUUUUUAUGGUGAGGGCUAGGGUUUGGGUUUGUGUGCAGGUUAGUGUUAAGGAUAGGUUUAGGGUUCGGUGAGGGUUAGGCGUUAUGUCUAGGGUCAGCGUUAGGUUAGGUUUAGGGUUAGUGUGAAGUUUAGGUUAAGGGUGAGGGUUAUGGUAAGGGUUAGGAUUAUAGACGGUGUUAGACGUUAGGUUUAGGGUGUUAGGGUUAGGUUUAUGGUUAGGGUAGAUUUAAGUUUAGGUUUAAUAUUAGGGUUAGGGUUAGAUUUGGGUUACUGUUCGUAUUAGGGUUAGGGUUAGGGAUAAGUUUGGGGAUAGCGUCAGGUUUAGGGUUGGGGAUACGGUUAAGGAUUAGGGUGAGGGUUAGGGUUAGGUUUACAGUUAAGGCGAGGGUUUAGGGUAAUUGUUAUGGUUAGGGUUAGAGUUAGAGUUAGGCUUAGGGUUAGGGUGAAGUUUCAGUUAAUAGUCAGGGUUAGGCUUAAGGUUAGAGUAGGGUUAAGGUUAGUGUUCGGGUUAGGUAUAGCGUUAGGGUUUGGGUAGGGGUAAGGUUAGGGUUAAGGCUAGGUUUACGGUAAAGGGUAGGGCUAGCUUAGGGUUAGAUUUAGAGUUGGAGUUAGUGCUAGGGUUUAGGAUGAUGGUUAUGGUCAGGUUUAGAGUUGUUGUUAGGGUUAGGGUAGAGUUAAGGUUAGGGUUAAUUAAGGGUUAGAGAAAGGGUUAGGUUUAGGUCUGGGUUAGGUGUAGGAUGCGGGGUAGGGUUAGGGUUAGGGGUUCAUGGGAGGGUUAGCGUUAAGUUUCCAUUAAGCUGAUGUUUUAGGGUGUUACUGUUAGGGCUAGGGUUAGCAUUAGGUUUAGGGUCAGGGCUAGAGUUAGGGGAUAGUUAAGGCUUAGCUUUACUUUCAGGGUUAGGGUUAGCCUUAGGUUUAGGGUGAAGUUUAGGUUAAGGAUGAGGGUUAGGGUUAGGGUUAGGCAUUUGGGUUAAGGUUAGGGUUAGGUUUAGGAUUAGGCUUAGGGUUAGGGUUAGGUGUUUGGGUUAAUGUUAGGGUCAGGUUUAGGGUUCGGCUUAGGGUUAGGGCUACAGCUGGGGUAAAGUUUAAUUGAAGGGUGAGGGUUGAGCUUAGGGUUAGCGUUAGGGGUUAGGGUUAGAGCUUAGGUUAGGAUUAAGUGUAGGGUUAAGGUUAGGUUUAGAUUUAGGGUUAGGGUUAGUGUUAGGGUUAAGUCAUGUUUAGGUUUAGGGCUAGGUGAAGGUUAUAGGUAGGGUUAGGUUAAGGGUUGAGGUUAGGUUUAGAUGGUAAGAUGAGGGUUAGUGCUAGGUUUCCAUUGAAGCUGAGUGUGUAGGGUAAGUUUUAGGGUUAGGAUUAGGGUUAGAGUUAGGGUUAGGGUCAGGGUUAGUUUUGAGUUUAGAGUUAGGGUUACGUUUAUGGUACGGUCAGGGUUAGGGGAGAUUUAGUGUUACGUUUAGUUUUAGGGCUAGGGUUACAGAGAAGUUUAUGUGAAGCGAGAGGGUUGGGGUUAGGGGUUUGGGUUCAGGUCAGAGUCAGGGUUAGGGUUAGGUUUAGGGUUAGGGUUACGUGUAGUGUUAGUGUUAGUUUUGCUUAGGGUUCUGGUUUGAAUGAAGUGAGGGUACGCUUAGCGUUAUGCUUUAGGGUGAAAUUCUGGUUAAGGGUGAGGGUUCGGCUCAGGGUUAGGGUUAGAGUUAGGGUCAGUGGUUAGGGUUAGGUUUAGGGUUAAGGUUAGUUUUAGGCUAAGGAUUAGGAUUAGAGUUAGGGUUAAGGGUUACUGUUUCAGUUAGGUUUAGGUUAAGGUUAUAAUUAGGGUUAAGUUUAGGGUUAGGGUAAGAGUUAGAGUUACAUUUACAGUUAAGGUGAGGGUUCUGGGUAAGUGUUACCGUUCAGGUUAAGGUUAGGGCUAGGGUUAGGGUUAGAGUUAAGGUUAAGGGUUAGGGUUAGGUUUAAGUUUAUGGUAGGCUUAAAGAUAGGGUUGAGGUUAGGUUAGGGUUAGGGUCAGGGUUAGAAUUAGAAUUAGGUUUAGGGCGAGGAUUAGGGUCAGAGUUAUUGUAAGGGUUAGGUUUCGGGUUACAGGUGGGCCAAGGUUAAGGUGAGGGUUAGGUUUAUGGGGAGGGUUAGGGUUAAAGUCAGGGUGAGUUUUAGGUUAGGGAUAGGGUGAAGUUUAAGAUAGGGUGAGGGUUAGGGUUAUGGCUAAGGUUUGGGCUUGUUUUCAGGUUAGUGUUAAGGUUAUGUUCAGGGUUAGGGUUACGUUCAGGGGUUGUGUUCAGUUUUAGGGUUAGGAUUAGAUUUAAGGUUAGGGUUAAGUUUAGUGUUACGUUUAGGGUUAGGGUCAUGGCUGUGUUAGGCUUUGUGGUUGGGGUGAGGGUUAGUUUUAGGGUUAGGGUUGGUUAGGGUUAGGAUUACCGUUAUGAUAAGGCGUUAGGGGUUAGAGGUGUAGUUUAGGGUUAGGGUUUGGGUGAGGGUUCCGGUUAGGCCUUGCGGUUCUGGUCAUGGUUAGGUUUGGUUUAGGCUUAGGGUUAGGUGCAUGAUUCGGUUUCGGGUUAGUGUUAGAGUUAGGGUGAGAGUUAGUGUUAAGGUUUUUGCUAGGCUUUGGUGUUAGGGUUAGGGUUUGUGUUAGGGUUAGGUUUAUCAUUAGGGCUCAGGGGUUUCAGGUUAAUGUUAGGGUUAGGGUUAGGGAUAGCAUUAGGGUUAGGGUUGUGGGAUACGGUUAGGAUUUAGGGUGCGGGUUACGGUUAGUUUUCCAGUUAAGGUGAGGGUUUAGGGUAAUUGUUACGAUUAGGGUUAUAGUCAGAGUUAGGGUUUGGUUUAGGAUUAGGGUUAGGUGUAGGGUAAGAAUUAGGUUUAGGUCCAUGUUGAGGGUUAGACUUAGUGUUCUAUUUAGGGUCAGGGUUAGGGGUAGGGUUAGGAUUAGGUCUAGGGUUAGGAUUAGGAUUAUUUUAGGGUUAGGUUCAGGGCUAUUGUAAGUGUUCGGUUUAGGGUUACAGAUGGACUAGCGUUAUUCUUAGAGUUAGGUUUAAGGUUAGGGUUUGGGUUAGGUCUAGGUUUAGGGUUAAGAUUAUGGUUAGUGUUUGGAUGAAGUUCAGGAUAGGGUGAGGGUUAUUUUUAUGGUGAGGGCUAGGGUUUGGGUUUGUGUGCAGGUUAGUGUUAAGGAUAGGUUUAGGGUUCGGUGAGGGUUAGGCGUUAUGUCUAGGGUCAGCGUUAGGUUAGGUUUAGGGUUAGUGUGAAGUUUAGGUUAAGGGUGAGGGUUAUGGUAAGGGUUAGGAUUAUAGACGGUGUUAGACGUUAGGUUUAGGGUGUUAGGGUUAGGUUUAUGGUUAGGGUAGAUUUAAGUUUAGGUUUAAUAUUAGGGUUAGGGUUAGAUUUGGGUUACUGUUCGUAUUAGGGUUAGGGUUAGGGAUAAGUUUGGGGAUAGCGUCAGGUUUAGGGUUGGGGAUACGGUUAAGGAUUAGGGUGAGGGUUAGGGUUAGGUUUACAGUUAAGGCGAGGGUUUAGGGUAAUUGUUAUGGUUAGGGUUAGAGUUAGAGUUAGGCUUAGGGUUAGGGUGAAGUUUCAGUUAAUAGUCAGGGUUAGGCUUAAGGUUAGAGUAGGGUUAAGGUUAGUGUUCGGGUUAGGUAUAGCGUUAGGGUUUGGGUAGGGGUAAGGUUAGGGUUAAGGCUAGGUUUACGGUAAAGGGUAGGGCUAGCUUAGGGUUAGAUUUAGAGUUGGAGUUAGUGCUAGGGUUUAGGAUGAUGGUUAUGGUCAGGUUUAGAGUUGUUGUUAGGGUUAGGGUAGAGUUAAGGUUAGGGUUAAUUUAGGGUUAGAGAAAGGGUUAGGUUUAGGUCUGGGUUAGGUGUAGGAUGCGGGGUAGGGUUAGGGUUAGGGGUUCAUGGGAGGGUUAGUGUUAAGUUUCCAUUAAGCUGAUGUUUUAGGGUGUUACUGUUAGGGCUAGGGUUAGCAUUAGGUUUAGGGUCAGGGCUAGAGUUAGGGGAUAGUUAAGGCUUAGCUUUACUUUCAGGGUUAGGGUUAGCCUUAGGUUUAGGGUGAAGUUUAGGUUAAGGAUGAGGGUUAGGGUUAGGGUUAGGCAUUUGGGUUAAGGUUAGGGUUAGGUUUAGGAUUAGGCUUAGGGUUAGGGUUAGGUGUUUGGGUUAAUGUUAGGGUCAGGUUUAGGGUUCGGCUUAGGGUUAGGGCUACAGCUGGGGUAAAGUUUAAUUGAAGGGUGAGGGUUGAGCUUAGGGUUAGCGUUAGGGGUUAGGGUUAGAGCUUAGGUUAGGAUUAAGUGUAGGGUUAAGGUUAGGUUUAGAUUUAGGGUUAGGGUUAGUGUUAGGGUUAAGUCAUGUUUAGGUUUAGGGCUAGGUGAAGGUUAUAGAUAGGGUUAGGUUAAGGGUUGAGGUUAGGUUUAGAUGGUAAGAUGAGGGUUAGUGCUAGGUUUCCAUUGAAGCUGAGUGUGUAGGGUAAGUUUUAGGGUUAGGAUUAGGGUUAGAGUUAGGGUUAGGGUCAGGGUUAGUUUUGAGUUUAGAGUUAGGGUUACGUUUAUGGUACGGUCAGGGUUAGGGGAGAUUUAGUGUUACGUUUAGUUUUAGGGCUAGGGUUACAGAGAAGUUUAUGUGAAGCGAGAGGGUUGGGGUUAGGGGUUUGGGUUCAGGUCAGAGUCAGGGUUAGGGUUAGGUUUAGGGUUAGGGUUACGUGUAGUGUUAGUGUUAGUUUUGCUUAGGGUUCGGGUUUGAAUGAAGUUAGGGUACGCUUAGCGUUAUGCUUUAGGGUGAAAUUCUGGUUAAGGGUGAGGGUUCGGCUCAGGGUUAGGGUUAGAGUUAGGGUCAGUGGUUAGGGUUAGGUUUAGGGUUAAGGUUAGUUUUAGGCUAAGGAUUAGGAUUAGAGUUAGGGUUAAUGGUUACUGUUUCAGUUAGGUUUAGGUUAAGGUUAUAAUUAGGGUUAAGUUUAGGGUUAGGGUAAGAGUUAGAGUUACAUUUACAGUUAAGGUGAGGGUUCUGGGUAAGUGUUACCGUUAAGGUUAGGGUUAGGGCUAGGGUUAGGGUUAGAGUUAAGGUUAAGGGUUAAGGUUAGGUUUAAGUUUAUGGUAGGCUUAAAGAUAGGGUUGAGGUUAGGUUAGGAUUAGGGUCAGGGUUAGAAUUAGAAUUAGGUUUAGGGCGAGGAUUAGGGUCAGAGUUAUUGUAAGGGUUAGGUUUCGGGUUACAGGUGGGCCAAGGUUAAGGUGAGGGUUAGGUUUAUGGGGAGGGUUAGGGUUAAAGUCAGGGUGAGUUUUAGGUUAGGGAUAGGGUGAAGUUUAAGAUAGGGUGAGGGUUAGGGUUAUGGCUAAGGUUUGGGCUUGUUUUCAGGUUAGUGUUAAGGUUAUGUUCAGGGUUAGGGUUACGUUCAGGGGUUGUGUUCAGUUUUAGGGUUAGGAUUAGAUUUAAGGUUAGGGUUAAGUUUAGUGUUACGUUUAGGGUUAGGGUCAUGGUUGUGUUAGGCUUUGUGGUUGGGGUGAGGGUUAGUUUUAGGGUUAGGGUUGGUUAGGGUUAGGAUUACCGUUAUGAUAAGGCGUUAGGGGUUAGAGGUGUAGUUUAGGGUUAGGGUUUGGGUGAGGGUUCCGGUUAGGCCUUGCGGUUCUGGUCAUGGUUAGGUUUGGUUUAGGCUUAGGGUUAGGUGCAUGAUUCGGUUUCGGGUUAGUGUUAGAGUUAGGGUGAGAGUUAGUGUUAAGGUUUUUGCUAGGCUUUGGUGUUAGGGUUAGGGUUUGUGUUAGGGUUAGGUUUAUCAUUAGGGCUCAGGGGUUUCAGGUUAAUGUUAGGGUUAGGGUUAGGGAUAGCAUUAGGGUUAGGGUUGUGGGAUACGGUUAGGAUUUAGGGUGCGGGUUACGGUUAGUUUUCCAGUUAAGGUGAGGGUUUAGGGUAAUUGUUACGAUUAGGGUUAUAGUCAGAGUUAGGGUUUGGUUUAGGAUUAGGGUUAGGUGUAGGGUAAGAAUUAGGUUUAGGUCCAUGUUGAGGGUUAGACUUAGUGUUCUAUUUAGGGUCAGGGUUAGGGGUAGGGUUAGGAUUAGGUCUAGGGUUAGGAUUAGGAUUAUUUUAGGGUUAGGUUCAGGGCUAUUGUAAGUGUUCGGUUUAGGGUUACAGAUGGACUAGCGUUAUUCUUAGAGUUAGGUUUAAGGUUAGGGUUUGGGUUAGGUCUAGGUUUAGGGUUAAGAUUAUGGUUAGUGUUUGGAUGAAGUUCAGGAUAGGGUGAGGGUUAUUUUUAUGGUGAGGGCUAGGGUUUGGGUUUGUGUGCAGGUUAGUGUUAAGGAUAGGUUUAGGGUUCGGUGAGGGUUAGGCGUUAUGUCUAGGGUCAGCGUUAGGUUAGGUUUAGGGUUAGUGUGAAGUUUAGGUUAAGGGUGAGGGUUAUGGUAAGGGUUAGGAUUAUAGACGGUGUUAGACGUUAGGUUUAGGGUGUUAGGGUUAGGUUUAUGGUUAGGGUAGAUUUAAGUUUAGGUUUAAUAUUAGGGUUAGGGUUAGAUUUGGGUUACUGUUCGUAUUAGGGUUAGGGUUAGGGAUAAGUUUGGGGAUAGCGUCAGGUUUAGGGUUGGGGAUACGGUUAAGGAUUAGGGUGAGGGUUAGGGUUAGGUUUACAGUUAAGGCGAGGGUUUAGGGUAAUUGUUAUGGUUAGGGUUAGAGUUAGAGUUAGGCUUAGGGUUAGGGUGAAGUUUCAGUUAAUAGUCAGGGUUAGGCUUAAGGUUAGAGUAGGGUUAAGGUUAGUGUUCGGGUUAGGUAUAGCGUUAGGGUUUGGGUAGGGGUAAGGUUAGGGUUAAGGCUAGGUUUACGGUAAAGGGUAGGGCUAGCUUAGGGUUAGAUUUAGAGUUGGAGUUAGUGCUAGGGUUUAGGAUGAUGGUUAUGGUCAGGUUUAGAGUUGUUGUUAGGGUUAGGGUAGAGUUAAGGUUAGGGUUAAUUUAGGGUUAGAGAAAGGGUUAGGUUUAGGUCUGGGUUAGGUGUAGGAUGCGGGGUAGGGUUAGGGUUAGGGGUUCAUGGGAGGGUUAGUGUUAAGUUUCCAUUAAGCUGAUGUUUUAGGGUGUUACUGUUAGGGCUAGGGUUAGCAUUAGGUUUAGGGUCAGGGCUAGAGUUAGGGGAUAGUUAAGGCUUAGCUUUACUUUCAGGGUUAGGGUUAGCCUUAGGUUUAGGGUGAAGUUUAGGUUAAGGAUGAGGGUUAGGGUUAGGGUUAGGCAUUUGGGUUAAGGUUAGGGUUAGGUUUAGGAUUAGGCUUAGGGUUAGGGUUAGGUGUUUGGGUUAAUGUUAGGGUCAGGUUUAGGGUUCGGCUUAGGGUUAGGGCUACAGCUGGGGUAAAGUUUAAUUGAAGGGUGAGGGUUGAGCUUAGGGUUAGCGUUAGGGGUUAGGGUUAGAGCUUAGGUUAGGAUUAAGUGUAGGGUUAAGGUUAGGUUUAGAUUUAGGGUUAGGGUUAGUGUUAGGGUUAAGUCAUGUUUAGGUUUAGGGCUAGGUGAAGGUUAUAGAUAGGGUUAGGUUAAGGGUUGAGGUUAGGUUUAGAUGGUAAGAUGAGGGUUAGUGCUAGGUUUCCAUUGAAGCUGAGUGUGUAGGGUAAGUUUUAGGGUUAGGAUUAGGGUUAGAGUUAGGGUUAGGGUCAGGGUUAGUUUUGAGUUUAGAGUUAGGGUUACGUUUAUGGUACGGUCAGGGUUAGGGGAGAUUUAGUGUUACGUUUAGUUUUAGGGCUAGGGUUACAGAGAAGUUUAUGUGAAGCGAGAGGGUUGGGGUUAGGGGUUUGGGUUCAGGUCAGAGUCAGGGUUAGGGUUAGGUUUAGGGUUAGGGUUACGUGUAGUGUUAGUGUUAGUUUUGCUUAGGGUUCGGGUUUGAAUGAAGUUAGGGUACGCUUAGCGUUAUGCUUUAGGGUGAAAUUCUGGUUAAGGGUGAGGGUUCGGCUCAGGGUUAGGGUUAGAGUUAGGGUCAGUGGUUAGGGUUAGGUUUAGGGUUAAGGUUAGUUUUAGGCUAAGGAUUAGGAUUAGAGUUAGGGUUAAUGGUUACUGUUUCAGUUAGGUUUAGGUUAAGGUUAUAAUUAGGGUUAAGUUUAGGGUUAGGGUAAGAGUUAGAGUUACAUUUACAGUUAAGGUGAGGGUUCUGGGUAAGUGUUACCGUUAAGGUUAGGGUUAGGGCUAGGGUUAGGGUUAGAGUUAAGGUUAAGGGUUAAGGUUAGGUUUAAGUUUAUGGUAGGCUUAAAGAUAGGGUUGAGGUUAGGUUAGGAUUAGGGUCAGGGUUAGAAUUAGAAUUAGGUUUAGGGCGAGGAUUAGGGUCAGAGUUAUUGUAAGGGUUAGGUUUCGGGUUACAGGUGGGCCAAGGUUAAGGUGAGGGUUAGGUUUAUGGGGAGGGUUAGGGUUAAAGUCAGGGUGAGUUUUAGGUUAGGGAUAGGGUGAAGUUUAAGAUAGGGUGAGGGUUAGGGUUAUGGCUAAGGUUUGGGCUUGUUUUCAGGUUAGUGUUAAGGUUAUGUUCAGGGUUAGGGUUACGUUCAGGGGUUGUGUUCAGUUUUAGGGUUAGGAUUAGAUUUAAGGUUAGGGUUAAGUUUAGUGUUACGUUUAGGGUUAGGGUCAUGGUUGUGUUAGGCUUUGUGGUUGGGGUGAGGGUUAGUUUUAGGGUUAGGGUUGGUUAGGGUUAGGAUUACCGUUAUGAUAAGGCGUUAGGGGUUAGAGGUGUAGUUUAGGGUUAGGGUUUGGGUGAGGGUUCCGGUUAGGCCUUGCGGUUCUGGUCAUGGUUAGGUUUGGUUUAGGCUUAGGGUUAGGUGCAUGAUUCGGUUUCGGGUUAGUGUUAGAGUUAGGGUGAGAGUUAGUGUUAAGGUUUUUGCUAGGCUUUGGUGUUAGGGUUAGGGUUUGUGUUAGGGUUAGGUUUAUCAUUAGGGCUCAGGGGUUUCAGGUUAAUGUUAGGGUUAGGGUUAGGGAUAGCAUUAGGGUUAGGGUUGUGGGAUACGGUUAGGAUUUAGGGUGCGGGUUACGGUUAGUUUUCCAGUUAAGGUGAGGGUUUAGGGUAAUUGUUACGAUUAGGGUUAUAGUCAGAGUUAGGGUUUGGUUUAGGAUUAGGGUUAGGUGUAGGGUAAGAAUUAGGUUUAGGUCCAUGUUGAGGGUUAGACUUAGUGUUCUAUUUAGGGUCAGGGUUAGGGGUAGGGUUAGGAUUAGGUCUAGGGUUAGGAUUAGGAUUAUUUUAGGGUUAGGUUCAGGGCUAUUGUAAGUGUUCGGUUUAGGGUUACAGAUGGACUAGCGUUAUUCUUAGAGUUAGGUUUAAGGUUAGGGUUUGGGUUAGGUCUAGGUUUAGGGUUAAGGUUAUGGUUAGUGUUUGGAUGAAGUUCAGGAUAGGGUGAGGGUUAUUUUUAUGGUGAGGGCUAGGGUUUGGGUUUGUGUGCAGGUUAGUGUUAAGGAUAGGUUUAGGGUUCGGUGAGGGUUAGGCGUUAUGUCUAGGGUCAGCGUUAGGUUAGGUUUAGGGUUAGUGUGAAGUUUAGGUUAAGGGUGAGGGUUAUGGUAAGGGUUAGGAUUAUAGACGGUGUUAGACGUUAGGUUUAGGGUGUUAGGGUUAGGUUUAUGGUUAGGGUAGAUUUAAGUUUAGGUUUAAUAUUAGGGUUAGGGUUAGAUUUGGGUUACUGUUCGUAUUAGGGUUAGGGUUAGGGAUAAGUUUGGGGAUAGCAUCAGGUUUAGGGUUGGGGAUACGGUUAAGGAUUAGGGUGAGGGUUAGGGUUAGGUUUACAGUUAAGGCGAGGGUUUAGGGUAAUUGUUAUGGUUAGGGUUAGAGUUAGAGUUAGGCUUAGGGUUAGGGUGAAGUUUCAGUUAAUAGUCAGGGUUAGGCUUAAGGUUAGAGUAGGGUUAAGGUUAGUGUUCGGGUUAGGUAUAGCGUUAGGGUUUGGGUAGGGGUAAGGUUAGGGUUAAGGCUAGGUUUACGGUAAAGGGUAGGGCUAGCUUAGGGUUAGAUUUAGAGUUGGAGUUAGUGCUAGGGUUUAGGAUGAUGGUUAUGGUCAGGUUUAGAGUUGUUGUUAGGGUUAGGGUAGAGUUAAGGUUAGGGUUAAUUUAGGGUUAGAGAAAGGGUUAGGUUUAGGUCUGGGUUAGGUGUAGGAUGCGGGGUAGGGUUAGGGUUAGGGUUUCAUGGGAGGGUUAGUGUUAAGUUUCCAUUAAGCUGAUGUUUUAGGGUGUUACUGUUAGGGCUAGGGUUAGCAUUAGGUUUAGGGUCAGGGCUAGAGUUAGGGGAUAGUUAAGGCUUAGCUUUACUUUCAGGGUUAGGGUUAGCCUUAGGUUUAGGGUGAAGUUUAGGUUAAGGAUGAGGGUUAGGGUUAGGGUUAGGCAUUUGGGUUAAGGUUAGAGUUAGGUUUAGGAUUAGGCUUAGGGUUAGGGUUAGGUGUUUGGGUUAAUGUUAGGGUCAGGUUUAGGGUUCGGCUUAGGGUUAGGGCUACAGCUGGGGUAAAGUUUAAUUGAAGGGUGAGGGUUGAGCUUAGGGUUAGCGUUAGGGGUUAGGGUUAGAGCUUAGGUUAGGAUUAAGUGUAGGCUUAAGGUUAGGUUUAGAUUUAGGGUUAGGGUUAGUGUUAGGGUUAAGUCAUGUUUAGGUUUAGGGCUAGGUGAAGGUUAUAGAUAGGGUUAGGUUAAGGGUUGAGGUUAGGUUUAGAUGGUAAGAUGAGGGUUAGUGCUAGGUUUCCAUUGAAGCUGAGUGUGUAGGGUAAGUUUUAGGGUUAGGAUUAGGGUCAGAGUUAGGGUUAGGGUCAGGGUUAGUUUUGAGUUUAGAGUUAGGGUUACGUUUAUGGUACGGUCAGGGUUAGGGGAGAUUUAGUGUUACGUUUAGUUUUAGGGCUAGGGUUACAGAGAAGUUUAUUUGAAGCGAGAGGGUUGGGGUUAGGGGUUUGGGUUCAGGUCAGAGUCAGGGUUAGGGUUAGGUUUAGGGUUAGGGUUACGUGUAGUGUUAGUGUUAGUUUUGCUUAGGGUUCGGGUUUGAAUGAAGUGAGGGUACGCUUAGCGUUAUGCUUUAGGGUGAAAUUCUGGUUAAGGGUGAGGGUUCGGCUCAGGGUUAGGGUUAGAGUUAGGGUCAGUGGUUAGGGUUAGGUUUAGGGUUAAGGUUAGUUUUAGGCUAAGGAUUAGGAUUAGAGUUAGGGUUAAGGGUUACUGUUUCAGUUAGGUUUAGGUUAAGGUUAUAAUUAGGGUUAAGUUUAGGGUUAGGGUAAGAGUUAGAGUUACAUUUACAGUUAAGGUGAGGGUUCUGGGUAAGUGUUACCGUUCAGGUUAGGGUUAGGGCUAGGGUUAGGGUUAGAGUUAAGGUUAAGGGUUAGGAUUAGGUUUAAGUUUAUGGUAGGCUUAAAGAUAGGGUUGAGGUUAGGUUAGGGUUAGGGUCAGGGUUAGAAUUAGAAUUAGGUUUAGGGCGAGGAUUAGGGUCAGAGUUAUUGUAAGGGUUAGGUUUCGGGUUACAGGUGGGCCAAGGUUAAGGUGAGGGUUAGGUUUAUGGGGAGGGUUAGGGUUAAAGUCAGGGUGAGUUUUAGGUUAGGGAUAGGGUGAAGUUUAAGAUAGGGUGAGGGUUAGGGUUAUGGCUAAGGUUUGGGCUUGUUUUCAGGUUAGUGUUAAGGUUAUGUUCAGGGUUAGGGUUACGUUCAGGGGUUGUGUUCAGUUUUAGGGUUAGGGUUAGAUUUAAGGUUAGGGUUAAGUUUAGUGUUACGUUUAGGGUUAGGGUCAUGGUUGUGUUAGGCUUUGUGGUUGGGGUGAGGGUUAGUUUUAGGGUUAGGGUUGGUUAGGGUUAGGAUUACCGUUAUGAUAAGGCGUUAGGGGUUAGAGGUGUAGUUUAGGGUUAGGGUUUGGGUGAGGGUUCCGGUUAGGCCUUGCGGUUCUGGUCAUGGUUAGGUUUGGUUUAGGCUUAGGGUUAGGUGCAUGAUUCGGUUUCGGGUUAGUGUUAGAGUUAGGGUGAGAGUUAGUGUUAAGGUUUUUGCUAGGCUUUGGUGUUAGGGUUAGGGUUUGUGUUAGGGUUAGGUUUAUCAUUAGGGCUCAGGGGUUUCAGGUUAAUGUUAGGGUUAGGGUUAGGGAUAGCAUUAGGGUUAGGGUUGUGGGAUACGGUUAGGAUUUAGGGUGCGGGUUACGGUUAGUUUUCCAGUUAAGGUGAGGGUUUAGGGUAAUUGUUACGAUUAGGGUUAUAGUCAGAGUUAGGGUUUGGUUUAGGAUUAGGGUUAGGUGUAGGGUAAGAAUUAGGUUUAGGUCCAUGUUGAGGGUUAGACUUAGUGUUCUAUUUAGGGUCAGGGUUAGGGGUAGGGUUAGGAUUAGGUCUAGGGUUAGGAUUAGGAUUAUUUUAGGGUUAGGUUCAGGGCUAUUGUAAGUGUUCGGUUUAGGGUUACAGAUGGACUAGCGUUAUUCUUAGAGUUAGGUUUAAGGUUAGGGUUUGGGUUAGGUCUAGGUUUAGGGUUAAGGUUAUGGUUAGUGUUUGGAUGAAGUUCAGGAUAGGGUGAGGGUUAUUUUUAUGGUGAGGGCUAGGGUUUGGGUUUGUGUGCAGGUUAGUGUUAAGGAUAGGUUUAGGGUUCGGCUUAGGGUUAGGGCUACAGCUGGGGUAAAGUUUAAUUGAAGGGUGAGGGUUGAGCUUAGGGUUAGCGUUAGGGGUUAGGGUUAGAGCUUAGGUUAGGAUUAAGUGUAGGCUUAAGGUUAGGUUUAGAUUUAGGGUUAGGGUUAGUGUUAGGGUUAAGUCAUGUUUAGGUUUAGGGCUAGGUGAAGGUUAUAGAUAGGGUUAGGUUAAGGGUUGAGGUUAGGUUUAGAUGGUAAGAUGAGGGUUAGUGCUAGGUUUCCAUUGAAGCUGAGUGUGUAGGGUAAGUUUUAGGGUUAGGAUUAGGGUUAGAGUUAGGGUUAGGGUCAGGGUUAGUUUUGAGUUUAGAGUUAGGGUUACGUUUAUGGUACGGUCAGGGUUAGGGGAGAUUUAGUGUUACGUUUAGUUUUAGGGCUAGGGUUACAGAGAAGUUUAUGUGAAGCGAGAGGGUUGGGGUUAGGGGUUUGGCUUCAGGUCAGAGUCAGGGUUAGGGUUAGGUUUAGGGUUAGGGUUACGUGUAGUGUUAGUGUUAGUUUUGCUUAGGGUUCGGGUUUGAAUGAAGUUAGGGUACGCUUAGCGUUAUGCUUUAGGGUGAAAUUCUGGUUAAGGGUGAGGGUUCGGCUCAGGGUUAGGGUUAGAGUUAGGGUCAGUGGUUAGGGUUAGGUUUAGGGUUAAGGUUAGUUUUAGGCUAAGGAUUAGGAUUAGAGUUAGGGUUAAGGGUUACUGUUUCAGUUAGGUUUAGGUUAAGGUUAUAAUUAGGGUUAAGUUUAGGGUUAGGGUAAGAGUUAGAGUUACAUUUACAGUUAAGGUGAGGGUUCUGGGUAAGUGUUACCGUUCAGGUUAGGGUUAGGGCUAGGGUUAGGGUUAGAGUUAAGGUUAAGGGUUAGGAUUAGGUUUAAGUUUAUGGUAGGCUUAAAGAUAGGGUUGAGGUUAGGUUAGGGUUAGGGUCAGGGUUAGAAUUAGAAUUAGGUUUAGGGCGAGGAUUAGGGUCAGAGUUAUUGUAAGGGUUAGGUUUCGGGUUACAGGUGGGCCAAGGUUAAGGUGAGGGUUAGGUUUAUGGGGAGGGUUAGGGUUAAAGUCAGGGUGAGUUUUAGGUUAGGGAUAGGGUGAAGUUUAAGAUAGGGUGAGGGUUAGGGUUAUGGCUAAGGUUUGGGCUUGUUUUCAGGUUAGUGUUAAGGUUAUGUUCAGGGUUAGGGUUACGUUCAGGGGUUGUGUUCAGUUUUAGGGUUAGGGUUAGAUUUAAGGUUAGGGUUAAGUUUAGUGUUACGUUUAGGGUUAGGGUCAUGGUUGUGUUAGGCUUUGUGGUUGGGGUGAGGGUUAGUUUUAGGGUUAGGGUUGGUUAGGGUUAGGAUUACCGUUAUGAUAAGGCGUUAGGGGUUAGAGGUGUAGUUUAGGGUUAGGGUUUGGGUGAGGGUUCCGGUUAGGCCUUGCGGUUCUGGUCAUGGUUAGGUUUGGUUUAGGCUUAGGGUUAGGUGCAUGAUUCGGUUUCGGGUUAGUGUUAGAGUUAGGGUGAGAGUUAGUGUUAAGGUUUUUGCUAGGCUUUGGUGUUAGGGUUAGGGUUUGUGUUAGGGUUAGGUUUAUCAUUAGGGCUCAGGGGUUUCAGGUUAAUGUUAGGGUUAGGGUUAGGGAUAGCAUUAGGGUUAGGGUUGUGGGAUACGGUUAGGAUUUAGGGUGCGGGUUACGGUUAGUUUUCCAGUUAAGGUGAGGGUUUAGGGUAAUUGUUACGAUUAGGGUUAUAGUCAGAGUUAGGGUUUGGUUUAGGAUUAGGGUUAGGUGUAGGGUAAGAAUUAGGUUUAGGUCCAUGUUGAGGGUUAGACUUAGUGUUCUAUUUAGGGUCAGGGUUAGGGGUAGGGUUAGGAUUAGGUCUAGGGUUAGGAUUAGGAUUAUUUUAGGGUUAGGUUCAGGGCUAUUGUAAGUGUUCGGUUUAGGGUUACAGAUGGACUAGCGUUAUUCUUAGAGUUAGGUUUAAGGUUAGGGUUUGGGUUAGGUCUAGGUUUAGGGUUAAGGUUAUGGUUAGUGUUUGGAUGAAGUUCAGGAUAGGGUGAGGGUUAUUUUUAUGGUGAGGGCUAGGGUUUGGGUUUGUGUGCAGGUUAGUGUUAAGGAUAGGUUUAGGGUUCGGCUUAGGGUUAGGGCUACAGCUGGGGUAAAGUUUAAUUGAAGGGUGAGGGUUGAGCUUAGGGUUAGCGUUAGGGGUUAGGGUUAGAGCUUAGGUUAGGAUUAAGUGUAGGGUUAAGGUUAUGUUUAGAUUUAGGGUUAGGGUUAGUGUUAGGGUUAAGUCAUGUUUAGGUUUAGGGCUAGGUGAAGGUUAUAGAUAGGGUUAGGUUAAGGGUUGAGGUUAGGUUUAGAUGGUAAGAUGAGGGUUAGUGCUAGGUUUCCAUUGAAGCUGAGUGUGUAGGGUAAGUUUUAGGGUUAGGAUUAGGGUUAGAGUUAGGGUUAGGGUCAGGGUUAGUUUUGAGUUUAGAGUUAGGGUUACGUUUAUGGUACGGUCAGGGUUAGGGGAGAUUUAGUGUUACGUUUAGUUUUAGGGCUAGGGUUACAGAGAAGUUUAUGUGAAGCGAGAGGGUUGGGGUUAGGGGUUUGGGUUCAGGUCAGAGUCAGGGUUAGGGUUAGGUUUAGGGUUAGGGUUACGUGUAGUGUUAGUGUUAGUUUUGCUUAGGGUUCGGGUUUGAAUGAAGUGAGGGUACGCUUAGCGUUAUGCUUUAGGGUGAAAUUCUGGUUAAGGGUGAGGGUUCGGCUCAGGGUUAGGGUUAGAGUUAGGGUCAGUGGUUAGGGUUAGGUUUAGGGUUAAGGUUAGUUUUAGGCUAAGGAUUAGGAUUAGAGUUAGGGUUAAGGGUUACUGUUUCAGUUAGGUUUAGGUUAAGGUUAUAAUUAGGGUUAAGUUUAGGGUUAGGGUAAGAGUUAGAGUUACAUUUACAGUUAAGGUGAGGGUUCUGGGUAAGUGUUACCGUUAAGGUUAGGGUUAGGGCUAGGGUUAGGGUUAGAGUUAAGGUUAAGGGUUAGGGUUAGGUUUAAGUUUAUGGUAGGCUUAAAGAUAGGGUUGAGGUUAGGUUAGGGUUAGGGUCAGGGUUAGAAUUAGAAUUAGGUUUAGGGCGAGGAUUAGGGUCAGAGUUAUUGUAAGGGUUAGGUUUCGGGUUACAGGUGGGCCAAGGUUAAGGUGAGGGUUAGGUUUAUGGGGAGGGUUAGGGUUAAAGUCAGGGUGAGUUUUAGGUUAGGGAUAGGGUGAAGUUUAAGAUAGGGUGAGGGUUAGGGUUAUGGCUAAGGUUUGGGCUUGUUUUCAGGUUAGUGUUAAGGUUAUGUUCAGGGUUAGGGUUACGUUCAGGGGUUGUGUUCAGUUUUAGGGUUAGGGUUAGAUUUAAGGUUAGGGUUAAGUUUAGUG